rnacentral:rRNA from 1 species
UACGUAGGGGGCAAGCGCUGUCCGGAUUCACUGGGCGUAAAGGGUGUGCAGGCGGUCUGGCGUGUCGAUGGUGAAAGCCCUCGGCUUAACCGAGGAAGUGCUGUCGAAACUACCAGACUUGAGGACGGAAGAGGAAACUGGAACUUCUGGUGUAGCGGUAAAAUGCGUAGAUAUCAGAAGGAACGCCGAUAGCGAAGGCAGGUUUCUGGGACGUUCCUGACGCUGAAACACGAAAGCUAGGGGAG